rnacentral:ncRNA from 1 species
AAAGCGUAAGUUGGAAUGGCCUAUCCGCCGAACGAGAUUAAAAAAGAUUAAGCGGAAGAAAAGAAAAUAAAUAAAUGAUUCCUUUAGUAAUGUCGAAUGAAAAAGGAAAAGCUCAAGAGGAAAAUCCUGAAUAGAUGUUUUCCAGCUAUUUCCAGGAAUUGUCUUGUUUAUAUGAUAUUUUUCCAUAGUAACUAAAUUUUUUUUCCGAAAAAAAAAUUCUUAGUCCUUAACCAAAAUAAAAACUGAAUAUGUUUUACCACAGAGGGUGAGAGUCCCGUAGGUUAUUACUAAGGCAUGAUAUAGUUACUUGGAAUUUUAUCUUUAGAGUCGUGUUCAUAAAGUAUAUCAACACCAAUAUGUAUGACUUUUUUCAUAUAAAGCUAAAUAUUUAUAGGAGACCGAUAGCAAACAAGUACCGUAAGGGAAAGAAUAAAUGACACUCAGGAAUGAGAGUUAAAUUGUACCUGAAAUCGUUAGCAGUCAAAAUGGAUUAGAUAGGAAAAAAUAGCAUUAAAGUAGCAAAAAUACACACACAAGAAGUUUUUUGUUGUUAAGGAGGGAAUUACUCUUUUUUUUUUAAGGGUUUUCUCUUUUUUCUUCAUCUUACACUUAGUAGUGCUGUUAUGUAUCUGAAUUUAUACAUGUUUGCCUUUUUUGUUAUUAAGGAUAUCAGUGAAAAAAGAUUAAUCAGGCAAAGCAUAUUUUCAGGGCAUAAAAAACUUUAAUGUUUUCUUGCUUCUCUGUUUUGAUCGAUUUUAACCGAUCGAGUUUCAAAACAUGGUUUUGUAAUUUUAAAUUAAAAAAAAAAUGAUUAUAUCUUAUUUACUGAGGAAUGUGAAAAGAGGAAAAAUUUGAAAGCUUUUUCUUUCCAGCUGGAUUUUUUUUUUUUCUUUUGAGAUGUCCUGAAAAAGUACUUAUCUAACCCUGACGUAUUGAAAAACAUACGAACCAAGGAAUCUAACAACUGGGCAAGCGUAAAUGGAAAUAAUUUUAUAUACUAAACAUUUUGAGUACGCGUUGGUUUGAUAAUCAAACUGUGGGAAGUCUUUUUAAUGUCUUCUAUUGUAUAUUACAAGGGGGGAAGGUCAUUAGGAGGUAAUAAUUUUAUUCUUCCUUUUGUCCAUGUAAAAAAAAAAAAAAAAAAAUUUACCUCUCCACGUUGCAUACAAAAUUUGGGAAAAAAACUAUAUAAAAAUAAAGCAGAAAAAUUACACGCCCUAGUGGGGUAUAAAUGGUGCACUUACAUAUAUAUGUAAUGUAUGUAUUGUAGGUGUUAUCUCCUCAUCUGGGUUUAUAAGAAGGGUUAUUUAUAAUGGUUUCUAUCAUAAGAUAGGAGAAGUGUAAUUUAUUUUUGCGGUCUUCAUUUUUAUGCAUGUUUUUCCGAAUUAGAGUCUAUUUGUUAGGACCCGAAAGGCUUUGUACCUGAGCAUAUGAUUGUGUAUAUAAAUGCAUAGCAAUGUAUUAGGGAUGUAUAAAUUUCGUAUAUAAUACAUGAAAAGUCGAAUAACUGGUUAUUUUCGAAAUAUCAUCUCGUGAUCGCUGAAGUUGUGAUAGUAUCCUACUAUAUAUAAUUUUUUUGUCUUAAGUGCUUAACAUUUGAAGAUUUAAGGAAAUGGACAUUGUAGAGUUUUGCCGUUUAACCAGAGGCAAAGAUUUAGGGUUUGGAUUUGAGCGUUUUGCUUACUUUUAGACUCUUUAUCUUAAGGUGGUGGUUUUUUAACUCUCUUUGUUGAAUCAUCAAAUUGCACAUGAAAGAAAAAAAAUAUAAGUACAAAAAGAAGUAAAGUGAAAAUAUGAGAAGUGUGAUAUUUUUAUAUUGCGGAGAAGUGUGUUUUCUUUUUGGAGACACUUUUGGGAUGCACCUUAUAAAAAUUAGUCUUUGUGGAAAAUUUAUUUUUCACCAUUUCUUAUAUAUUUACUUUCAUGAAAUAAGAUAGCUUCAAGUGUGCUAAUUUUUUUUUUUUAAAAAAAAAAAGAAACUAGCAAUGAGGGAUGUACCCUAGAGCUUGGAUAAGGUGCCUAAAUAUUCGCUCUUAAAACAUAUCUAUGAAAAAAUAUGUGGGAAUAUUUUACGUUGACAGUAAGGAUGGUAAUCUUUUAUAGUAGGUAUCCACUAAGGAAUGUGUACAAACUCACCUGCUUAGUAAUUAUUCUUCUUAUUACGGAUAUAGCGUUACAGUGAAUUACCGAUACCGAGCCAUAAAAGGAUAUUUUGUAAAAUCUUUUUAUGUGUAGAAAAUCGUGGGAUAUGUGCAGAAGCGUUAGACGUGAGUUGGCGUGGAACAUUUUCCUAGUGCAGAUCUUGGUGACAGUAGUAAUAAAAUCGA